UACGAAGGGGGCUAGCGUUGCUCGGAAUCACUGGGCGUAAAGGGUGCGUAGGCGGGUCUUUAAGUCAGGGGUGAAAUCCUGGAGCUCAACUCCAGAACUGCCCUUGAUACUGAGGAUCUUGAGUCCGGGAGAGGUGAGUGGAACUGCGAGUGUAGAGGUGAAAUUCGUAGAUAUUCGGAAGAACACCAGUGGCGAAGGCGGCUCACUGGCCCGGUACUGACGCUGAGGAGCGAAAGCGUGGGGAGCGAACAGG
rnacentral:rRNA from 1 species